rnacentral:tRNA from 1 species
GACUCCCUAGCUCAGUUGGUAGAGCAGCUGACUCUUAAUCAGCGGGUCGAGGGUUCGAGCCCCUCGGGGGUCACCA